rnacentral:lncRNA from 1 species
GUAGCUAUUGCUGUUCCCACUGACGGAGCUAUCGACCUUAGAUCUCGAAGAAAUGCAGGUGCUGAGAAGCCGCCAUUGGAGCCAGCAACCUGGCUCGUCAGACUCUUUAAUACAAUCCUCAGCGAAACGAGGGACGCCAUUGGAGCCACUUUUUUCCUUCCUCUUCUUCUUCUUCUCCUUCUUCUUCAAUUUAUUAGCAUUCCCGCCGCCUAAUACCAUUUCCUCCACUCUUUCUUUCUCUGCAACAAGAACCCUAAUCGGCGAAUCCCACUUCUCAUCCAAACACACAAUUACCACC